UAUGUAGGGGGCGAGCGUUGUCCGGAUUUACUGGGCGUAAAGGGUGCGUAGGCGGGGCUUUAAGUCAGAGGUGAAAUCCUGGAGCUCAACUCCAGAACUGCCUUUGAUACUGAGGAUCUUGAGUACGGGAGAGGUGAGUGGAACUGCGAGUGUAGAGGUGAAAUUCGUAGAUAUUCGCAAGAACACCAGUGGCGAAGGCGGCUCACUGGCCCGAUACUGACGCUGAGGCACGAAAGCGUGGGGAGCAAACAGG
rnacentral:rRNA from 1 species